CGGUGGUUGAGAAGGGAGGGGAAAAAAACUGGAGGAGAUUCCAUGAGAGACCAGACUCAACCCUCCUUCCCCGCUGCAGAACGACUCCAAUGCCCAGUCCACAAGCACAUGCUACAGGACCCGGGACACCUCCUGGCAUUGAUUAUUAGCAUUUUAACAAAUAUGAGUAUUUCCAAGUGUGGACAGAAGUGGAUCUUCAGGAAUAUUAUUUAUGGAUGACCAAAACGCUUAUUGCCCAAACUGAAUAAAGUAUAUUAUUCAUGUCUGUCCUCAAAACCAUUUACGAA